rnacentral:misc_RNA from 1 species
UCUCCCAAAUAAAAGUCUGGUAGCCAAGAACACCGGGUUUGCAGUUCCAUCGACAUUGGCAAAUUUAUCAAAAUUAGAUCUGCUAAUCAGAAAUGGAUAUGGGACUGCUAUUGCUCAUGUGAAACUAUUGAACACGAUCGAAAAUAAGUUUGUUCUCUCCAGCAAGUUUUCUGUUGAGGGAGCUUUUCGGAUGAAAGAGGAAUAUGUUGAAGGGAUAUUUGAAACUCCAAAGGUAGACGAGGAUAUCGUGCCUGAGCAACUAAAGGGUGCUUUGGA